CUCGUAGGCGGCCAACUAAGUCCGACGUGAAAUCCCAAAGCUUAACUUUGGAACUGCGUCGGAUACUGGAUGGCUUGAAUUCGGGAGAGGGAUGCAGAAUUCCAGGUGUAGCGGCGAAAUGCGUAGAUAUCUGGAGGAAUACCGGUGGCGAAGGCGGCAUCCUGGACCGACAUUGACGCUGAGGAGAAGACAGGAGGGCAAACG
rnacentral:rRNA from 1 species